GUGGGGAAUUUUGGACAAUGGGCGAAAGCCUGAUCCAGCCAUGCCGCGUGCAGGAUGAAGGCCUUCGGGUUGUAAACUGCUUUUGUACGGAACGAAAAGACUCCUUCUAAUAAAGGGGGUCCAUGACGGUACCGUAAGAAUAAGCACCGGCUAACUACGUGCCAGCAGCCGCGGUAAUACGUAGGGUGCAAGCGUUAAUCGGAAUUACUGGGCGUAGAGCGUGCGCAGGCGGUUAUAUAAGACAGAUGUGAAAUCCCCGGGCUCAACCUGGGAACUGCAUUUGUGACUGUAUAGCUAGAGUACGGUAGAGGGGGAUGGAAUUCCGCGUGUAGCAGUGAAAUGCGUAGAUAUGCGGAGGAACACCGAUGGCGAAGGCAAUCCCCUGGACCUGUACUGACGCUCAUGCACGAAAGCGUGGGGAGCAAACAGGAUUAGAUACCCUGGUAGUCC
rnacentral:rRNA from 1 species